rnacentral:rRNA from 1 species
UACGGAGGGUGCGAGCGUUGUCCGGAAUCACUGGGCGUAAAGGGCGCGUAGGCGGCCUAAUAAGUAGGGGGUGAAAUCUUGCGGCUUAACCGCAAGGCUGCCUUCUAAACUGUCAGGCUAGAGCACAGUAGAGGCAGGUGGAAUUCCCGGUGUAGCGGUGGAAUGCGUAGAGAUCGGGAAGAACAUCAGUGGCGAAGGCGGCCUGCUGGGCUGUUGCUGACGCUGAGGCGCGACAGCGUGGGGAGCAAACAGG